ensembl:lncRNA
GUGCAAUAAAUACAACAAUUAGUUAAUAAAAGCAUCAGUCACAGGAAGAAAAACAGAAGUUACAGUAGUUUUGUGCAAAUGCAAUUUGUUUUUGCUCACUUUCCGUGAACACUCUUAAAACAAGACGUGGAAGUCAGUUUGGCACUUUUAAAGUUGUUUUUUGCUUCCCAUCACAAUAAAAAAGUUAUUUUUUCCCCCUUUCGCUUUGGACGGCCUGUAUAGGGAAGAAAAAGAUUGAGCCCUUUGCUGAGAUCUAAUUCUGCCAUCAUGAAAUCAAAUGUUUGCCAACUUGAAUCGCAACUGUUCCUUAACAUAAAUUACAACAUCCUCGUUUUGUAUGCGGCCGUGCAGCCUGUUGCUAUGUAGCUACAGACCCAAGACAUUAACCACAACUUCACCUCCAUCUUUUUCUUUAAAACUUGAGUUUGUAAGGGCAAAUAUGUAACCUCGGGCACAGAAAUAAUAAUAACUACACCUGAAAGAACUCCUCGCUGUCUGUAAGGACUGAGGAGUGAAGAGCAUGUGCUCAAAUUUAACCUUCUCGGAACAGAACGCCUCAAACAAUUAGUAUCAACGGUCCCCGAGGCCUGAGAAAUAUUUGGUCAGUCAAAAAUCCAUUUGCGAGCUGCAUUUUUUCUAAUAAGCGCAAAAACACCAUAAAAAGAUCCACUUCCACUUUUAGAGGGUGGCCCCUUUUUUGAACACUGGAGCCAAACUAGAAAAGAACAGAAAAACCUUUAACACUGCAUUAUCACACUGCAGUAUGAGAACGUCACAUUUCCAUCCUUCCCAAAUAACCAAUUAACACCAAACUUUGUUUUUUUGUCCUAUAACUUCAGCUACAAAAUAGCUAGUCUCCACAUACAGGAUGAAGACACCAGAGUGCUCAGUCUGCCAGAGAGCUACGUAGCAGUCACACUGAGAGGCUUGUGGAGGGCUCUCUGGGGGUCCCAUGUGCAAGAAAGAAGGGACCACCCAACUUUAGUCACAAACUAAAUCCUCCUUUUUGCUUAUUUCAUAGGGGUGGGGCAUACUCUGAUGCAAAGCUUUACAUUUUUGUAUCCCAGCUUGUGCUAGGCACGUAUCCUAAAAACAUAUGAAUGAAAUUUUCUAGAUCUUAAAAGAACUGAGACAAAAAUGUACGUUUCAUUUAAAAGACCAAAUGAACUUGAACGAAAGACAAAACAAAUGUAAGUGUGAACAUAAAUCAGAGUUGCUGUGGUGCCCUGCCCCCUUUACACCAUAUUUUUGGUUUGUUAGUGAGAAUACCUGAAUUAUCCUGAGCCAGCCAGCGGCCUCCCUGUGUGUGACCUUGACUACUUUACCCUCUGGCUUAGUAAAAACACAUUGCUUUAAAGAACGACUCCAUGGAUUCCUUUCACCAACACUGCUGAAGGACAGAUCCUCGCCUGACAACACCUCCUCCCCUG